CCUAUUUAUAUUGACGGCAUUUCAUUUUACUAGAGGAACCUGUUUUAUAAUCGACAAUCCACGAUAAAUUUCACUUUUAUUAUAAAUUUAUAUACCGCCGUCUAAAGAAUUAAUUUAAUAUUUUUAUUCUUAAUUAAAUAAAAAAAGUUAGGUCAAGGUGUAGUUUACGUAAAAGAAAAAAAUGGGUUACAUUAAAUUUAAUUUUUGGAUAAAUAAUAAAAUAUUAUUUUAAAAUAGGAUUUAGAAGUAAUUUUUAAAAAUAAUAAUAAAAUAUG
rnacentral:rRNA from 1 species